rnacentral:tRNA from 1 species
CGCGCGGUAGUGCAAAGGUAGCAUAACGGAGUCAUUAUCCGUUGAUAUAGGUUCGAGUCCUGUCUGCGCAACCA